rnacentral:ncRNA from 1 species
AUAAAACUGCCACCGGGUAGUAAAAUGCGAAAGCAUUCGUAUGCACAUCGUUAGGUCAUUGAAGAUGUGUACACGGGUGCUUUAUUUUU